UAAAUACUCCCUCCUGCCGGAAAUACUUGUCAUAAAAAUGGAUAGAAAAAAGAUGUAUCUAGGCGUAUUUUAGUUCUAGAUACAUUUUUUUGUCCAUUUUAAUGAUAAGUAUUUCCAGACGGAGGGAUAUAAG
rfam:Triticum aestivum genome assembly, contig: Triticum_aestivum_CS42_TGACv1_scaffold_114146_2AS